rnacentral:rRNA from 1 species
GGAAGGCGCUGCGUUAGCAGCUCGUAGUUGGAUAUCUGAUUGGUCUGAUGAGGCCUGCUUUCGAGUGUGUGUUUCAUCACCCAAUCAUCCUUCCAGUUUCCAAAUUUAUCUCGUUUCAGUCUAACUGUUACUUGGUAAAUUAUUAACUGGAUCUUUUACUUUGAAAAAAUAAGAGUGUUCAAAGCAAGCUAUUGCUGUGAAUUCAUUAGCAUGGAAUAAUAAAAUAGGACUUUGGUCUAUUUUGUUGGUUUCUAGGUCCAAAGUAAUGAUUGAUAGGGACAGUUGGGGGUGCUUGUAUUGAACGGCCAGAGGUGAAAUUCUUGGAUUCGUUCAAGACAAACUACUGCGAAAGCAUUCA